rfam:Oryza brachyantha chromosome 7, whole genome shotgun sequence.
AAUAAUCUUAUUUUUCGUUUUUCCGUGUCUAAGUUUAACCAUUCGUUUUAUUUGAUUUUUUUCCGACUAAUAUUUUUAUUAUUACUAGAUGAUAAAAUAUGAAUAGUACUUUAUACGUGACUAAUUUUUUUAAAGUUUUUAUACAAAAUUUUCAAAUAAUACGAAUGGUCAAAGGUUGGACACGGAAAAAC